GACGAACGCUGGCGGCGUGCCUAAUACAUGCAAGUCGAGCGGACAGAAGGGAGCUUGCUCCCGGAAGUUAGCGGCGGACGGGUGAGUAACACGUGGGCAACCUACCCUGUAGAUCGGGAUAACAUCGAGAAAUCGGUGCUAAUACCGGAUAAUCAUUUGAAGUGCAUGCUUCGAAUGUAAAAGAUGGCUCCGGCUAUCACUACGGGAUGGGCCCUGGGCACAUUAGCUGGUUGGUAAGGUAAUGGCUUAGCAAGGCAACGAUGCGUAGGCGACCUGAGAGGGUGAUCGGCCACACUGGGACUGAGACACGGCCCAGACUCCGACGGGAGGCAGCAGUAGGGAAUCUUCCGCAAUGGACGAAAGUCUGACGGAGCAACGCCGCGUGAGUGAUGAAGGUUUUCGGAUCGUAAAGCUCUGUUGUUAGGGAAGAACAAGUGCCGUUUGAAUAAGGCGGCACCUUGACGGUACCUAACCAGAAAGCCACGGCUAACUACGUGCCAGCCGCCGCAGUAAAAC
rnacentral:rRNA from 1 species